rnacentral:rRNA from 1 species
GGUUAACGGAGCGAAAGCGACGUUCAACCGCAAAACAAGCAGAGGGGGCUUAGUGGUGGGGUGACUGCGUACCUUUUGUAUAAUGGGUCAGCGACUUAUAUUCUGUAGCAAGGUUAACCGUAUAGGGGAGCCGGAGGGAAACCGAGUCUUAAUUGGGCGUUAAGUUGCAGGGUAUAGACCCGAAACCCGGUGAUCUAGCCAUGGGCAGGUUGAAGGUUGGGUAACACUAACUGGAGGACCGAACCGACUAAUGUUGAAAAAUUAGCGGAUGACCUGUGGCUGGGGGUGAAAGGCCAAUCAAACCGGGAGAUAGCUGGUUCUCCCCGAAAGCUAUUUAGGUAGCGCCUCGUGAAUUCAUCUCCGGGGGUAGAGCACUGUUUCGGCUAGGGGGCCAUCCCGGCUUACCAACCCGAUGCAAACUGCGAAUACCGGAGAAUGUUAUCACGGGAGACACACGGCGGGUGCUAACGUCCGUCGUGAAGAGGGAAACAACCCAGACCGCCAGCUAAGGUCCCAAAGUCAUGGUUAAGUGGGAAACGAUGUGGGAAGGCCCAGACAGCCAGGAUGUUGGCUUAGAAGCAGCCAUCAUUUAAAGAAAGCGUAAUAGCUCACUGGUCGAGUCGGCCUGCGCGGAAGAUGUAACGGGGCUAAACCAUGCACCGAAGCUGCGGCAGCGAACGUAUCACUUAAAGCGAUUCAGCGGGUUACGAUUGACGGAGCGAAGCGACGUCAAAGCGUAUACAAAGUCGAGUCGGUUUAAGGAUACGUUCGUUGGGUAGGGGAGCGUUCUGUAAGCCUGCGAAGGUGGCCUGUGAGGGUUGCUGGAGGUAUCAGAAGUGCGAAUGCUGACAUAAGUAACGAUAAAGCGGGUGAAAAGCCCGCUCGCCGGAAGACCAAGGGUUCCUGUCCAACGUUAAUCGGGGCAGGGUGAGUCGACCCCUAAGGCGAGGCCGAAAGGCGUAGUCGAUGGGAAACGGGUUAAUAUUCCCGUACUUGGUGUUACUGCGAAGGGGGGACGGAGAAGGCUAUGUUGGCCGGGCGACGGUUGUCCCGGUUUAAGCGUGUAGGCUGGUUUUCCAGGCAAAUCCGGAAAAUCAAGGCUGAGGCGUGACGACGAGGCACUACGGUGCUGAAGCAACAAAUGCCCUGCUUCCAGGAAAAGCCUCUAAGCAUCAGGUAACACGAAAUCGUACCCCAAACCGACACAGGUGGUCAGGUAGAGAAUACCAAGGCGCUUGAGAGAACUCGGGUGAAGGAACUAGGCAAAAUGGUGCCGUAACUUCGGGAGAAGGCACGCUGACACGUAGGUGAAGUGAUUUACUCAUGGAGCUGAAGUCAGUCGAAGAUACCAGCUGGCUGCAACUGUUUAUUAAAAACACAGCACUGUGCAAACACGAAAGUGGACGUAUACGGUGUGACGCCUGCCCGGUGCCGGAAGGUUAAUUGAUGGGGUCAGCGCAAGCGAAGCUCCUGAUCGAAGCCCCGGUAAACGGCGGCCGUAACUAUAACGGUCCUAAGGUAGCGAAAUUCCUUGUCGGGUAAGUUCCGACCUGCACGAAUGGCGUAAUGAUGGCCAGGCUGUCUCCACCCGAGACUCAGUGAAAUUGAACUCGCUGUGAAGAUGCAGUGUACCCGCGGCAAGACGGAAAGACCCCGUGAACCUUUACUAUAGCUUGACACUGAACAUUGAGCCUUGAUGUGUAGGAUAGGUGGGAGGCUUUGAAGUGUGGACGCCAGUCUGCAUGGAGCCGACCUUGAAAUACCACCCUUUAAUGUUUGAUGUUCUAACGUGGACCCGUAAUCCGGGUUGCGGACAGUGUCUGGUGGGUAGUUUGACUGGGGCGGUCUCCUCCUAAAGAGUAACGGAGGAGCACGAAGGUUGGCUAAUCCUGGUCGGACAUCAGGAGGUUAGUGCAAUGGCAUAAGCCAGCUUGACUGCGAGCGUGACGGCGCGAGCAGGUGCGAAAGCAGGUCAUAGUGAUCCGGUGGUUCUGAAUGGAAGGGCCAUCGCUCAACGGAUAAAAGGUACUCCGGGGAUAACAGGCUGAUACCGCCCAAGAGUUCAUAUCGACGGCGGUGUUUGGCACCUCGAUGUCGGCUCAUCACAUCCUGGGGCUGAAGUAGGUCCCAAGGGUAUGGCUGUUCGCCAUUUAAAGUGGUACGCGAGCUGGGUUUAGAACGUCGUGAGACAGUUCGGUCCCUAUCUGCCGUGGGCGCUGGAGAACUGAGGGGGGCUGCUCCUAGUACGAGAGGACCGGAGUGGACGCAUCACUGGUGUUCGGGUUGUCAUGCCAAUGGCACUGCCCGGUAGCUAAAUGCGGAAGAGAUAAGUGCUGAAAGCAUCUAAGCACGAAACUUGCCCCGAGAUGAGUUCUCCCUGAGACUUAGAGUCUCCUGAAGGAACGUUGAAGACGACGACGUUGAUAGGCCGGGUGUGUAAGCGCAGCGAUGCGUUGAGCUAACCGGUACUAAUGAACCGUGAGGCUUAACCUUAC